UCCUACGGGAGGCAGCAGUGGGGAAUUUUCCGCAAUGGGCGAAAGCCUGACGGAGCAAUACCGCGUGAGGGAAGACGGCCUAUGGGUUGUAAACCUCUUUUUUCAGGGAGGAAUUUUGACGUGUACCUGAAGAAUAAGCAUCGGCUAACUCCGUGCCAGCAGCCGCGGUAAGACGGAGGAUGCAAGUGCUAUCCGGAAUCACUGGGCGUAAAGCGUCUGUAGGUGGUUAAGCAAGUCAACUGUUAAAUCUUGAGGCUCAACUUCAAAAUCGCAGUCGAAACUGUUUGACUAGAGUAUAGUAGGGGUAAGGGGAAUUUCCAGUGGAGCGGUGAAAUGCGUAGAUAUUGGAAAGAACACCGAUGGCGAAGGCACUUUACUGGGCUAUUACUGACACUCAGAGACGAAAGCUAGGGUAGCAAAUGGGAUUAGAUACCCUCGUAGUCCAUGCCGUAAACGAUGUGUGUUAGACGUUGGAAAUUUAUUUUCAGUGUCGCAGCGAAAGCGAUAAACACACCGCCUGGGGAGUACGACCGCAAGGUUAAAACUCAAAUGAAUUGACGGA
rnacentral:rRNA from 1 species